GUAGGAAACCUGUGAACUUCCCAUGUCUAUUCCUCUGUGGUUUUUCUUUUUCUUUCUUUUCUUUUUCUUUCCAAAGUACAAGUACCCUUGAAAAAUAACAAUUAUGCCUCUGCUAAACUCCUAGCAAACUGUUUCUCCCACUUGGGUCGGUGAGGUGAUGCACUUGGCGGCGGUGUGGUCAUGGAGGCUGCGGGUCACAGAGAAGUCCUGGUUCCCAGGCUAGGGGUCGAAUGGGAGCUACAGCUGCCGGCCUAUGUCACAGCCACAGCCACGGAGGAUCCGAGCCGUGUCUGCGACCUACACCGCAGCCCUUGGCAAUGCCGGAUCCUUAACCCAGUGAGCAAGGCCAGGGAUUGAACCUGCAUCCUCAUGGAUGCUAGUCAGAUUUGUUUCCACUGUGCCACAACGGGAGCUCCUUAAAUAUUUGUUAAGUGAAAUAAUGACUCCAGGGUUGCUAGGUCUUUGCUCUCGGCCUUGCAUUGUCAUUUCUUGCGUUUGUUCAGUACUUACUUUUUCCCCAGCGCUCAUGAUGUAGGUUAAAGUCACUGCCAUUCUUAUCAAAUAGAUGAAAUAAUUGAAGCCUAAAAUUGUCAUGGCAAAGCCAGGGAAGAGACGAGUCCAUGUUAGCAGACCUCUGGUCCCAGCCUCUUUCCACUGGCCAGUGCUGGCUCUCUGGGCACUUUAUUUUUCUGUCGGGAUGAUGUUAUUGUUUGUUUUAUUUGGCAGUAUUUACACCAGAGGAGUAGGGGCCAUUGUGUGUCAGUGGCGACUGGAAAUGCACAGCAGAGUCCCAGGAGAAUGCCACUGUCGGUCUUCACCACAAUUAGCAAUUGUCAGGCCAGGGGCAGUGACUGGGUGGGUGUCGUUCCCUAUGUGGCGGGUUCUGUAUGUCACAAUCCACUGCCUGCUCCUGCCAGAGGCAGAGGAGAGUAGAGGGGUCCCGGGACCUCAGUUCCUUUUCUGUCUGGUCCUGUCUAUCCCACCACUUACAUAUAGGCCCCUUCUGCUUGGGACAUGUCCUGUUAUAUGUCUAGUGGGAUUCCUGUGGCCUGGUGAAAUGGAAAGAGGAGUGCUCGCCGCUUGCCACCUGGGUGGCCUUUAGCUUCUGUUUCUCCAUCUUUAAAACAGGGGAGGAGGUAGGAACCAGACCAGAUAAGCUCAAAGAUCCCUCCCAGGGUUCCAGUUCCCUUGUGAAGUGAAGCCUGGUCCUGACUCCUGUGUGCAGGUGCUGAGGGAAGGAAGUUAAAGGUGAUCGGUGGGGUUCUGGAGAAAGCCUCCCCAGUUCCCCUGUAAUUUCCCCCAAGCGGAGGUUCUGUUGAAGUGGAUUAGGGCAGAGACUUGGGAGUCAUUACUCGGCAGGGCAUGAUGCCAGGGAGCAGGGGCUUCCCUCACGUCCCUGACCACAGCAGGACCACCUUUAAGGAGGAAGUGGGUUAAGGUGGGACACAUGUGUGCUGCCCAGCGCUGUCCUCAAAGGGAGCAGUUGUGUUAGCAGGUGGAGCUGUGUCUCAUCUCCCAAUACCAGGGAAGAAGAAGGUGGGCUGCUGGGGUGAGUGCGAGCACCUUUAACCGGGAGGCCUGGCUCCCCACUCUGAUGGCAUCACGCUGCAGCUGUCAUGCUCUUCCUCUGAGCCUCAGUUUCCACAUCUGUCAGAUGGCUGCUGCUGUAAAUCCCUGUCCUGCUAGCUGGAUUGGGACUGCGAAAACAUCAGCUACUGCAAAAGAAGGGGCCAUACUUCUGGCAUCCCUAUCCACAUGUGUGUUUGUUUAUGGGUGUGUAUAUGAAUGAACAUCCCCAGGGUUGUCCCAUCAUGACAUCGUGGACACAGACUUGCUGAAAGUACUGAGUCCUUCCAUCUGAGACGGCCAACGAGCGGACUGAACUAGAAAGCUGGUGGCCUUGAGAGGAACAGGCUUAAGAACUGCUGAAUGGAGUCCUGUCAUAUUUGGGGGGAGGGGGAGAGCCGUGUGGAUCAGAGGUGAGUCACCGUGCAUGAGCGCUGGGGAGUCACCUUGAACCUGAGCCAAAAAAGUAGAAGUACUGGGACUUGGGUUUAUCUGCGUUACAUCAGGUACAUCAAGUUCUGGAUGGCCGCCCACUGGCCAGAGACCUGAGGUGGACGGCUCUCCCUUGCUGCCCUGGGAAGGCUUUCUGCUGGCUGCGGCCCCGCUGAGCAAAGUCCGCUUGUUCAGUGGAGUUCACACAGACUCCUUGCCAGGCCUGCCCAGAAUCCUGUCUCCUCUGACUUCCUGUGCUCUUGCAUAAUAUUUCCUUGCUUCUUGAAUGGCUGCCCCCGGUGCGGGGGCAGCUCCCUGACGCGGCUGGACGGAGAGCAGGAUGUGGAGGGAGGGCAGGGAUGUGCAGACGUCACCCAGGGGUGCCUGGGCCCCCAGGGAGGAGGGCGGUGCUCCCCAGAUUGCUUGGAGGGAGAUUUUAGCAUAGGGGUGGUUAGGGAGACGAUGCAAGCAUGUGUGUGCAUACACACACCACCCCCAAACACACAUACACACACAGCCCAGACCCCAUAAGUUGUCUCUCCCGUAAAAUUAUGUUUAGGGUAGUUGUUUUCUUCUGAUGGUAGAAAGUAUACACGUUCCCUGUGAAAAGUUAUACUAUAGGAAGGCAUUGAGAUAAAAAUAAAAAUCACCAGAAUUCCACCAUCCAGAGAUAACCACUGUUAACACUUUGGGGAACAUAACUUUCUUCCGUACAGCAAAUAUGGACAUGUAAUUACAGAUUAUAAUCCUACUCUGUGCUCUCGUAAAAAUGCAUUUUCUAUACAGUGACCUAUCAGUAUUCUCUCUUGCUCUACACAAGACAUAGAUUUAAUACAGCUGCGUGUAGUUCCACUUAACAGAUGAUCAUAAUGCAACUCCUAUUCAUUCCCGUUCAAGUUCAGAAAACAAGCUCUCACCAGGCCAGAGAUGUUCUCGAACUUGGAAAGCAGCAUCUCUGCCUACGCCUGACCAAUGAGGUAGCUCUGGUGUCCCAGAAAUAAGUACAGAUGAAAAGCUUUUGUACCCAUGUAGGCCUUUCUGUAGGCUCAGAGUAAUUCACGUGAUGACAUAGAGGAGGGCGGUCAGGGCCGGCCUGGGCGUCCUCUUUGGGGAAGAUCAUCUCCCAGUGUGUGUCUGCUUUGAGCCAGGAGCCACUAGCCAGAAGAACAAGUUUUUCAGAAGAACGGGUUUUUCUUCAGUCCUGUCUUCCUGUGCCCAAGAAUUCAAAUAAGCUUCAUUUUAAAUCUUAAUUGGGGAUCACCCUCUUGAAAUUUUGUCACCGUGUGUACCUUUUAAAAGGCACCCUUCCUUCUUUACACAGUCUUGUAUUUAUGAUAUGGAAAACGUGAGUGUAUCUAUAGUGCCCUUCAGAUUUGUAGCAGGUGGAAGAUAAAGCCAGAUUUUUUUAGCUGAAAUAAAUAUGCUGUCGCUACCAUGUUUCUGUCCCAUCCCUGAAAGCUGGAUAUGUUUACGGUUGUUCCACUGGGAACCCAGUGGCUAGACAGCAUUUGCUUGUUUCCUUUGAGUCCUUUUUAAACUGGCUUGGCUAGUCUUUUGAUUUAAUCAAGAGUUUUUAGUCUGAGGCUGGGCUCAUUGCUUGUGGUUCAAAAUUGCUUGUUAGGUUUACUUUUGAGUCAAGACAAAAUUUGUUUCCUAGAGCUAGCUCUCUGUUUCAGACUUUGCGUCUAAGUUGAAAAGCUUGCUGUCACUGGUCAGCUUAAACACAUUUAUUUAAAAGUUCUCAGGCAUCGUUUAAAAUAAAAAUUUGCAACAGAAUUUAGCGCCAAUAGAAUCCAAGUAUUUUACCCAUUUUGUUUAUAGUUGUCCACUCUCCAGGCAAACAAUCUAUUAUAACAAUUUGUGUAAUUACAGUCUCUCCUUCAAUUUAUUCACCCAGGAUGCCUUUUUUUUGAGAAUUCCUGGCCAAACUGUUAUUACAUUAAAUUUGUUGACUAUACCCUGUGAGGAGUUAGGAUGACGAUGUGAGUUAAAGAAAGGAAAUCAUGUAUAAUGUUUGUCUGCUCUGCAACAUUUUCAGUGUGUGAACAUUUACAAGUUGAUUUUGUAAUUGUCCCCUUUCUUGGUCAUUACCUGCUUCAGGUGGGGUCUUGGCCACGAGGGCGCAUUUGGGAAGUGAGAAGGGGCACGGUGGAAUUGGUCCUUAGAUUAUGAAACGGGAGUUUGUUGAAACUGAUAGUUUUCUGCAGUGAGCAUAGAGCAGCCGUUGGCAUGGCAACCCCUACGUGGAAAAGUGCACGCCGCUCGCAGAUGACUUUUGCAGUCCUCAGUGUUAAUCUGAUAAAUGGCUUUUUUAAUAGUAGUUUGUGGGCUAAUGGAAAGGUUGAAGCAAACCUUCAUUAACAGGAAGAAGGAUGGGGAUUUUUGAAGCCACCGAGGGAACACAUUGGGGAGCCAAAGCCAAAUCUCCAUUUUCAGCCCAGUGUCUCUUUUUCAUGUCAGGUAUGUUUGGAGCGUGACAAGCCAAAGUAAAUUGGGAAUACUGUCUUGAAAGGGUGUCACUGCCAUCAUCAGUUUAGAUUUUCAAGCAGGCAGUGGUUUGGUGUCCAUUUUAUUCAGAACCUUUACUUUAGUGAGAAUUUACAAAACACUGUAAAAGGUUUGCAUUGAGGUCUCUUUUUCUUUUGGUGGCCAUGGUGGGGUGAGGUGUUUUUAUUGUUGUUGUUGUUGUUGUUGUUUUCCCAGUGUGGUGAAAUACAUAUAAAACACAAGUUGACCAUUUUAACCAUUUUUAAGCGUACAGUUCAGUGGCAUUUAGUAUAUUCACACUGUUGUGUGGCCACCACAUUAACCUUCUCGAGAACUUUCCCACCACCCCAGAUUGAAAAGUCUAUACCCAUUAAACAUUAACCCCUAUUCCUCCCUCCCUUAAGCCCCUAGAAACCACUAUUCUAGAAACCUCACCUAAGUGGAACCAUACAAUUAUUUGUUCUUUCGUGUCUGGCUGAUUUCAUUUAGCAUAGUGUUUUCAAGUGUCAUCCGUGUUGUAGCAUGCAUCAGAAUUUCAUUCCUUUUUAAGGCUGAAUAACAUUUCAUUAUAUGUAUAGACUACAUUUAGUUUAUCCUUCCUUGAAUUGACAUUUAGUUUGUUCUCCCCUUGGCUAUUGUGAAUAAUGCUGCUAGGAACAUGGGCAUACAAAUAUCUGUAUCAGGAGUUCCUAUUGUGGCGCGGUGGAAACAAAUCCGACUAGGAACCGUGAGGUUGUGGGUUCGAUCCCCGGCCUCACUCAGUGGGUUAAGGAUCCCGCAUUGCUAUGGCUGUGGUGUAGGCUGGCAACUGUAGCUUGGAUUGGACUCCUAGCCUGGGAAUCUCCAUAUGCCAUGGGUGUGGCCCUAAAAAGCAAAAUAAAUAAAUGAAUAAAUAUCUAAGUCCCUGCUUUCAGUUCUUUGGGGUAUACACCUAGCAGUUGAAUUGAUGAGCCGUGUGGUAAUUUUAUGUUUAUUUUUGUAAGGAACUGCCAUAGUGUCUUUCACAACAGCUGUACCAUUUUACAUUCCCACUAGCCAUAUACAAGGCUUCCAAUUUGUCCACAUCCUUGCCUUUCCCCACCCCCUGGCUUUUUGUUGUUCUUUUAAAUAAAAGCCAUCCACUGGAUGUGAAGUGGUAUUUUACUGUGGCUCUGAUUCGCAUUUCUCUAAUGAUUUUCAGUUUAUUUGUCUUUAUAAAUACAUUGCCACACGCUUGAUGGCCUGUGGGGAUGGAAAUCACUGCCACAUUGUUCAUACCUGAGAGGCAGUGAGACCGUCGGAGAUGUUUGCUGGGGGUAAAGGGUGGAAGGGAGUGUAUCGUCAUCACAUGGGACACAUGAUUGUUAUACCGUACAGCCACCUCAGUAGACCUGUAGGCAAAGUUUGUGCUGUGGGACAGAUGAGCUGGUUUUAAAAUAGAUGCCUUUGACACCUGAACUCAUAUAAAACUGUAAGUCACUUAUACUUCAAUUAAAAAAAAAUGAAGGGGGCAUUCCCAUCAUGACUCAGUGGUAGCGAACCUGGCUAGUAUCUAUGAGGACACAGGUUCAAUCCCUGGCCUUGCUCAGUGGGUUAAGGAUCCAGCGUUGCUGUGAGCUGUGGUGUAGGUUGCAGAUGCAGCUCAGAUCCUGAAUUGCUGUGGCUGUUUGAUCCCUGGUCUUGCUCAGUGGGUUAAGGAACCAGCAUUGCUGUAGCUGUGGUGUAGGCCGGCAGCUGCACCUCCAAUUAGAUCCCUAGCCUGGGAACUUCCAUAUGCUGCAACUUAAAA
rnacentral:lncRNA from 1 species